AGCGAACGCUGGCGGCAGGCUUAACACAUGCAAGUCGAGCGGGCACCUUCGGGUGUCAGCGGCGGACGGGUGAGUAACGCGUGGGAACGUGCCUUCUGGUUCGGAAUAACCCUGGGAAACUAGGGCUAAUACCGGAUACGCCCUUUUGGGGAAAGGUUUACUGCCGGAAGAUCGGCCCGCGUCUGAUUAGCUAGUUGGUGGGGUAACGGCCUACCAAGGCGACGAUCAGUAGCUGGUCUGAGAGGAUGAUCAGCCACACUGGGACUGAGACACGGCCCAGACUCCUACGGGAGGCAGCAGUGGGGAAUAUUGGACAAUGGGCGCAAGCCUGAUCCAGCCAUGCCGCGUGAGUGAUGAAGGCCUUAGGGUUGUAAAGCUCUUUUAUCCGGGACGAUAAUGACGGUACCGGAGGAAUAAGCCCCGGCUAACUUCGUGCCAGCCGCCGCCGUAA
rnacentral:rRNA from 1 species